UACGGAGGGUGCGAGCGUUGUCCGGAAUCACUGGGCGUAAAGGGCGCGUAGGCGGCGGAGAAAGUCAACGGUGAAAGCUCGGGGCUUAACCCCGAGUCGGCCGUCGAUACUUCUCUGCUUGAGCACUGUAGAGGCAGGUGGAAUUCCGGGUGUAGCGGUGGAAUGCGUAGAGAUCCGGAAGAACACCGGUGCGAAGGCGGGUCUGCUGGGGUAAUGCUGGACACUGAUGCGCGACAGCGUGGGGAGCAAACAGGAGUAGAA
rnacentral:rRNA from 1 species